GAUGAACGCUGGCGGCGUGCCUAAUACAUGCAAGUCGAGCGAACGGACGAGAAGCUUGCUUCUCUGAUGUUAGCGGCGGACGGGUGAGUAACACGUGGAUAACCUACCUAUAAGACUUGGAUAACUUCGGGAAACCGGAGCUAAUACCGGAUAAUAUUUUGAACCGCAUGGUUCAAAAGUGAAAGACUGUCUUGCUGUUACUUAUAGAUGGAUCCGCGCUGCAUUAGCUAGUUGGUAAGGUAACGGCUUACCAAGGCAACGAUGCAUAGCCGACCUGAGAGGGUGAUCGGCCACACUGGAACUGAGACACGGUCCAGACUCCUACGGGAGGCAGCAGUAGGGAAUCUUCCGCAAUGGGCGAAAGCCUGACGGAGCAAAGCCGCGUGAGUGAUGAAGGUAUUCGGAUCGUAAAACUCUGUUAUUAGGGAAGAACAUAUGUGUAAGUAACUGUGCACAUCUUGACGGUACCUAAUCAGAAAGCCACGGCUAACUACGUG
rnacentral:rRNA from 1 species